UCCCUGGUGGCUCAGACGGAAAAGCGUCUGUCCGCAAUACAGGAGAUCUGGGUUCAACCCCUAGAUUGGGAA
rnacentral:tRNA from 1 species